rnacentral:rRNA from 1 species
UACGGGGGGAGCAAGCGUUGUUCGGAUUUACUGGGCGUAAAGGGCGCGUAGGCGGCCACUGCAAGUCGGUUGUGAAAUCUCCGGGCUUAACCCGGAAAGGUCAAUCGAUACUGCAGGGCUAGAGUGCAGAAGGGGCAACUGGAAUUCUCGGUGUAGCGGUGAAAUGCGUAGAUAUCGAGAGGAACACCUGCGGCGAAGGCGGGUUGCUGGGCUGACACUGACGCUGAAGCGCGAAAGCGUGGGGAGCAAACGGG